GCCUGUUGCACAAAAGUAGAAUUAAGACAUCCGGGAUAAAUGACUCAGCUGAGCUCAAUGAAGCCAAAACAUGUGCGUCCAGGCUUAAUUGGUUGCACAAAGACCAAGCCAGGAUGAGCAGACACGGAUUCAUUAAACCAGGUGAAACCAAUCCUGGAUAGGUGCGCGCUCACGGCUCACUCAAAUAGACCCCGCCACAGAUCACAGAUUAACUGAUUUACCAUGGCAACUAGAGCCGCGUACUUUUCCCCGUCGGAAGCACAAAUCCUCAUGGAGGCAUACGAGGAGGUAAAAGAUAUAAUUAAGAAGAAAGGCAACACCGCCACAGUGAUAAAGCAAAGAGAAAAAGCGUGGCAAAGUAUUGCAGACCGCCUGAAUGCAUUAAACAUGAACGGGCCAAAACGGCCAUGGCAGCAGGUCAAAAUCCAAUACAAGAACAUUCUGCAGAAUGCAGUGAAAAAGAAUACCCACAGACAAGGCACGGGUGGUGGGUCACCAAAGGCUGACCUUACCCCAGCAGAGGACAUGGCCUUGGAGCUAAAUAAA